GAUGAACGCUGGCGGCGUGCCUAAUACAUGCAAGUCGAGCGAACAGACGAGGAGCUUGCUCCUCUGACGUUAGCGGCGGACGGGUGAGUAACACGUGGAUAACCUACCUAUAAGACUGGGAUAACUUCGGGAAACCGGAGCUAAUACCGGAUAACAUGUUGAACCGCAUGGUUCAACAGUGAAAGACGGUUUUGCUGUCACUUAUAGAUGGAUCCGCGUCGAAUUAGCUAGUUGGUAAGGUAACGGCUUACCAAGGCAACGAUGCGUAGCCGACCUGAGAGGGUGAUCGGCCACACUGGAACUGAGACACGGUCCAGACUCCUACGGGAGGCAGCAGUAGGGAAUCUUCCGCAAAGGGCGAAAGCCUGACGGAGCAACGCCGCGUGAGUGAAGAAGGUCUUCGGAUCGUAAAACUCUGUUAUUAGGGAAGAACAAAUGUGUAAGUAACUAUGCACGUCUUGACGGUACCUAAUCAGAAAGCCACGGCUAACUACGUG
rnacentral:rRNA from 1 species